rnacentral:rRNA from 1 species
AACGAACGCUGGCGGCAUGCCUAACACAUGCAAGUCGAACGAGACCUUCGGGUCUAGUGGCGCACGGGUGCGUAACGCGUGGGAACCUGCCCUUAGGUUCGGAAUAACUCCCCGAAAGGGGUGCUAAUACCGGAUAAUGUCUUCGGACCAAAGAUUUAUCGCCUUUGGAUGGGCCCGCGUUGGAUUAGCUAGUUGGUAGGGUAAAAGCCUACCAAGGCGACGAUCCAUAGCUGGUCUGAGAGGAUGAUCAGCCACACUGGGACUGAGACACGGCCCAGACUCCUACGGGAGGCAGCAGUGGGGAAUAUUGGACGAUGGGCGAAAGCCUGAUCCAUCACUGCCGCGUGAGUGAUGAAGGCCUUAGGGUUGUAAAGCCCUUUUCCCCGGGAUGAUAAUGACAGUACCGGGAGAAUAAGCUCCGGCUAACUCCGUG